CACAACCAUUAACGGUGGAUCCCUCGGCUCGGAGUUCGAUGAAGAACGUGGCAAAAUGCGUUAAUUGAUGCGACAUGCAAGCCUUGUGAGUCAUCGAAUUUUUGAACGCAAAUGGCACUGCUGACUUGUCAGUGGUAUGUCUGGUUGAGGGUUGCUUAUUACAAACAUCCCCACGA
rnacentral:rRNA from 1 species